AUGGUUUAUACACUAAAAAAAAGAAAAGUUGAAUGAUACAGAGAAGAUUAGCAUGGCGCCUGAGUGAGGAUGAUGCAAAUUCAUCAAGCGUUCCAUAUUAAAAUUUUUU